rnacentral:rRNA from 1 species
GACGAACGCUGGCGGCGUGCUUAACACAUGCAAGUCGAACGAUGACGACCGAGCUUGCUCGGUCUGAUUAGUGGCGAACGGGUGAGUAACACGUGAGCAACCUGCCCUUCACUCUGGGAUAACCUCGGGAAAUCGGGGCUAAUACCGGAUAUGAGCUCCUGUCGCAUGGCGGGUGUUGGAAAGUUUUUCGGUGAAGGAUGGGCUCGCGGCCUAUCAGAUUGUUGGUGAGGUAGUGGCUCACCAAGGCGAUGACGGGUAGCCGGCCUGAGAGGGCGACCGGCCACACUGGGACUGAGACACGGCCCAGACUCCUACGGGAGGCAGCAGUGGGGAAUAUUGCACAAUGGGCGAAAGCCUGAUGCAGCGACGCCGCGUGAGGGAUGACGGCCUUCGGGUUGUAAACCUCUUUCAGCAGGGAAGAAGCGAAAGUGACGGUACCUGCAGAAGAAGCGCCGGCUAACUACGUG